rnacentral:rRNA from 1 species
AUUGAACGCUGGCGGCGUGAUUUACACAUGCAAGUCGAACGGUAACAGGCCGCAAGGUGCUGUCUGGUGGCGGACGGGGGCGUAAUACAUCGGAACGGUCCCAGUCGUUAGAGGUAACUACUCGCAAGAGUAGCUAAUACCUCAUACGGGCUAUUAAUUAAAGCGGGGUGCCGUAAAACCUCGCGCCAUUGUAGCUGCCGAUGUCAGAUUAGGUAGUUGUUGGGGUAAAGGCUCACCAAGCCAACGAUCUGUAGCUGGUCUGAGAGGACGACCAGCCACACUGGGACUGAGACACGGCCCAGACUCCUACGGGAGGCAGCAGUGGGGAAUUUUGGACAAUGGGCGCAAGCCUGAUCCAGCAAUGCCGCGUGAAGGAAGAAGGUCUUCGGGUUGUAAAAUGCUUUUGUACGGAAAGAAAAUGUUCUGGUUAAUACCCGGGGAUCAUGACGGUACCGAAAGAAUAAGCCCCGGCUAACUACGUG